rnacentral:rRNA from 1 species
AGUGAACGCUGGCGGUAGGCCUAACACAUGCAAGUCGAACGGCAGCACAGUAAGAGCUUGCUCUUACGGGUGGCGAGUGGCGGACGGGUGAGGAAUACAUCGAAAUCUACUUUUUCGUGGGGGAUAACGUAGGGAAACUUACGCUAAUACCGCAUACGACCUACGGGUGAAAGCAGGGGAUCUUCGGACCUUGCGCGAUUGAAUGAGCCGAUGUCGGAUUAGCUAGUUGGCGGGGUAAAGGCCCACCAAGGCGACGAUCCGUAGCUGGUCUGAGAGGAUGAUCAGCCACACUGGAACUGAGACACGGUCCAGACUCCUACGGGAGGCAGCAGUGGGGAAUAUUGGACAAUGGGCGCAAGCCUGAUCCAGCCAUACCGCGUGGGUGAAGAAGGCCUUCGGGUUGUAAAGCCCUUUUGUUGGGAAAGAAAAGCAGCAGGUUAAUACCCCGCUGUUCUGACGGUACCCAAAGAAUAAGCACCGGCUAACUUCGCG